GGGCCCGCACAAGCAGCGGAGCAUGUGGUUUAAUUCGAAGCAACGCGAAGAACCUUACCUGGAUUUGACAUCUCCUGAAUAGCCAGUAAUAUGGCGAAGCCCUUCGGGGCAGGAAGACAGGUGGUGCAUGGUUGUCGUCAGCUCGUGUCGUGAGAUGUUAGGUUAAGUCCUGCAACGAGCGCAACCCUUAUUGUUAGUUGCUACCAUCAAGUUGAGCACUCUAAUGAGACUGCCCGGGUUAACCGGGAGGAAGGUGGGGAUGACGUCAAAUCAUCAUGCCCCUUAUAUCCAGGGCCACACACGUGCUACAAUGGUAAGUACAAAAAGAUGCAAUACCGCAAGGUGGAGCCAAACUUUAAAACUUAUCCCAGUUCGGAUUGCAGGCUGCAACUCGCCUGCAUGAAGCUGGAGUUGCUAGUAAUCGCGAAUCAGAAUGUCGCGGUGAAUACGUUCCCGGGCCUU
rnacentral:rRNA from 1 species